UAGGGAAUCUUCCACAAUGGGCGAAAGCCUGACGGAGCAACGCCGCGUGUGUGAUGAAGGGUUUCGGCUCGUAAAACACUGUUGUAAGAGAAGAAUGACAUUGAGAGUAACUGUUCAAUGUGUGACGGUAUCUUACCAGAAAGGAACGGCUAAAUACGUGCCAC
rnacentral:rRNA from 1 species